GAAAAGGUGAGUGCGUGCUCAGCUGCUCAGUCAUGUCCGGCUCUUCAUGACCCUUGGACUUAGCCCUCCAGGCUCCUCUGUCCAUAAGAUUCUCCAGGCAAGAAUACUGGAGUGGGCUGCCAUUUCCUCCUCCAGGGGAUCUUCCCGACUCAGGGAUUGAACCCACGUCUCCUGUGUCUCCUGCACUGACAGGCAGAUUCUUUACUGCUGAGUCAUCAGGAAAGCCCACAGCAAAGGUUUUUUGGCUUCAAGGCAUUUGGGAAUCUUAGCUCCCCAACCUGGGGUCAAACCCACAUCCCUGCACUGGAAGGCAAAGUCUUAACCGCUGGACCACCAGGGAAAUCCCCAUAUCAACCUUUCGAUGCUGGAGUCUCUUGAUCAACUCCUGGAUUCCAAGUCCCCCAGCAGAAGGUCCUACGCACCACUUCAUCUCUGUAUCCCCAACCACGCAAUGUGAGGCUCCAGACUUU
ensembl:lncRNA